rnacentral:rRNA from 1 species
ACGAACGCUGGCGGCGUGCUUAACACAUGCAAGUCGAACGGUGAAGCGCCUUCCUUUUUGGUGGGUGUGGAUGAGUGGCGAACGGGUGAGUAACACGUGAGUAACCUGCCCCCUUCUUCUGGAUAACCGCAUGAAAGUGUGGCUAAUACGGGAUAUUCUGGGUCUGUCGCAUGAUGGGUCUGGGAAAGAUAUUGUUUCGGUGGGGGAUGGGCUCGCGGCCUAUCAGCUUGUUGGUGGGGUGAUGGCCUACCAAGGCGGUGACGGGUAGCCGGUCUGAGAGGGUGGACGGUCACACUGGGACUGAGACACGGCCCAGACUCCUACGGGAGGCAGCAGUGGGGAAUAUUGCACAAUGGGCGCAAGCCUGAUGCAGCGACGCCGCGUGAGGGAUGGAGGCCUUCGGGUUGUGAACCUCUUUCGCCAGUGAAGCAGGCCUGCCUCGUUUGUGGGUGGGUUGACGGUAGCUGGAUAAGAAGCGCCGGCUAACUACGUG